GACGAACGCUGGCGGCGUGCUUAACACAUGCAAGUCGAACGAAGUGGCGAACGGGUGAGUAACGCGUAAUCAACCUGCCCUUCAGAGGGGGACAACAGUUGGAAACGACUGCUAAUACCGCAUACUGAAGGAGGGGCUUGCGUCUGCUUCGCUAGUUGGAGGGGUAACGGCCAAGCAAGGCGAUGAUCAGUAGCAGGUAGGAGAGGAUGAGCGGCCACAGUGGGACUGAGACACGGCCCAGACUCCUACGGGAGGCAGCAGUGGGGAAUCGGCCGGAAUGGACGAAAGUCUGACGGAGAAACGCGGCGGGAGUGAUGACGGCCGUCGGGUUGUAAAGCUCUGUUAUUCGGGACGCGGUACCGGAAUAGAAAGCAACGGCUAACUACGUGCCAGCAGCCGCGGUAAUAC
rnacentral:rRNA from 1 species